rnacentral:lncRNA from 1 species
AAGAUACUUAGAGCCUUGGAUGGAAAGUACGACACCAUGUGCACAUUGAUCCAAAUGAUGCCAAACUACAAAAUUCUCAAGCCAACGUAAGUCAUUGGAAGGAUUGUCGCUCAUGAAAUGUCACUCAAGGACAAAGAAGAGCUGCACAACAAGUCAAGCGGUGCUUACAAAGCUUCAAGUGAUGCUCCCUCUACUUCAAAUGACAACCUCGUCACCAAUGAAGAAAUAAGCCUCGUGGUCAAGAAAUUCAACAAUUUCUACAAGAGUAGAUGCAAAGAGAGAA